rnacentral:rRNA from 1 species
AAACCGGAGGAAGGUGGGGAUGACGUCAAAUCAUCAUGCCCCUUAUGAUUUGGGCUACACACGUGCUACAAUGGACAAUACAAAGGGCAGCGAAACCGCGAGGUCAAGCAAAUCCCAUAAAGUUGUUCUCAGUUCGGAUUGUAGUCUGCAACUCGACUACAUGAAGCUGGAAUCGCUAGUAAUCGUAGAUCAGCAUGCUACGGUGAA